CUUCUCUGUAGCCAGGUCAGGCGCUUCUGCCGCUGUUUCUGGUUCAAAAGCACACGCCUGUGCACGGUGGCUCUGGAUGUUUCUACUCCAGACUCAGUCCACUGCUUCCGCAGGUCCCCCAAGGUCUGGAAUCGGUCCUUCUCCACAAUCUUCCUCAGGGUCCGGUCACCUCUUCUCGUUGUGCAGCGUUUUUUGCCACACUUUUUCCUUCCCACAGACUUCCCACUGAGGUGCCUUGAUACAGCACUCUGGGAACAGCCUAUUCGUUCAGAAAUUUCUUUCUGUGUCUUACCCUCUCGCUUGAGGGUGUCAAUGAUGGCCUUCUGGACAGCAGUCAGGUCGGCAGUCUUACCCAUGAUUGCGGUUUUGAGUAAUGAACCAGGCUGGGAGUUUUUAAAAGCCUCAGGAAUCUUUUGCAGGUGUUUAGAGUUAAUUAGUUGAUUCAGAUGAUUAGGUUAAUAGCUCGUUUAGAGAACCUUUUCAUGAUAUGCUAAUUUUUUGAGAUAGGAAUUUUGGGUUUUCAUGAGCUGUAUGCCAAAAUCAUCAGUAUUAAAACAAUAAAAGACCUGAAAUAUUUCAGUUGGUGUGCAAUGAAUCUAAAAUAUAUGAAAGUUUAAUUUUUAUCAUUACAUUAUGGAAAAUAAUUAACUUUUUCACAAUAUGCUAAUUUUUUGAGAAGGACCUGUGUGUGUAUAUAUAUAUAUAUAUAUAUAUAUAUAUAUCCAUGCCUGGUAAGUGAAGCAGGUUUAAAUCGGAGGUUUUAAAUCUAGAAGUGAAGUUUAAAUCAUUUUAUUGCUUCCAGAUGUUUCUUCAUGAUGUUUUGUUCUUUAAUCAAAAUAGGUCAAGUGGCACAUGUUCCUUAAUGACAUCAUCUAUCAUCCUGCAGGAAGUGACAUUAUUUUGGAGGGAAAUCCACAUCAGUGAAUCUCGAUUAUCUCCGACAUUCCAAGAGCAUCUGGAUUGUACUGAACAUGGAAAUCUGCGGCGCACGGAGCAGGUAUUCGGCCCUCGGCGAGCCAGUGGAAAAACUGAGCUGCUGGAUGUGAAUCUCAGAGAUAACGGCUGAGGUCAGACGAAUGUGAGGUAAUGACAGAAAGCAGAAAAACAUCCGUCCGCAGAGAGCCAUCACAAAUACUUGAUUCCGAAUAAUGUGUGUGACGUCACCAGAGAACUGACUGCUUCACCUGAUGGAUGGAUGAUAAAAACCACCCUAGAUUUGCUGGAGAAACUAUUUUCACCCAGAUAUUGCCAUCAAGAAGAAGUAAAAAAAUCACAUAUACUAGUGCAUUCGAAAUCAAGUAAAUUCGAUUCUUUUGUAAUGUACUGCAGUCAACUUUUUGUUUUGUAUUUAUUUUACUUUGUUUAUAACUCUGAAUUUUUUAUUCAGAUUUGACAUUAUAUUUUUUAUUCAUUUGACGUUUCAAAACGCUGAUAUCUCCUUUGGAGGAUGCAGAUCUAGUUUCCAUCAUCGCAGUCUGUAGUUCAUGUGAUUUUAUUUUGGCAGUAUGAUUCUUAAAAAAAUACAAGCAGAAAUCACAUUGUGUUGCAUUAAAUAUUAACGGCGAUGAAAGAUAAAAAGUAACUUAAUGUGAGCCAGAGUUAUUUUAGUAUCAUUGCAAAACUAUUAUAGUUUGUUAAUAUUUCAAAUUAUAUAUAUAUAUUCCAUUUUAAUUUUAGUUAGUUUUAGAAUUUUUGUGCAUUUUCGACAUUUUUAUUAGUUAUUGCUUUUUAAAAUUUAUUUAUAUAGUUUUUUAUUCAUUUAUAAUGUUUAAUAUUAAAGGGUUUUAAAAAGGUUGGGGUUUAAAAGACUAU
ensembl:lncRNA